AGAAGGGAUUGGAGGAAACAGGCUGAAGACAGAUGCUGCAGUGGGAGUGUGGAGAGAUGUGAAGGCAACAGCAGGAAUAAUGAUAAGAUUGGUUGUGAGGUACUGUAUAGAUGAGAUGGAUAGGACCAGAGAUGCACCUGAGAGCAGGAGGAAAAGGAGAGGAAAAUGGUCAUGUGGGUGCCAGAUAGUACUGCAUAACCUCUCCUUUUGAAUUUGAGGUACCUGCGUCUGCCAAGAGUAGCUUUUCCAUUUCACAACCAUCACACUUUCCUGUGAGUUCAGAGUUAAUGAAGACAUGUGGAUGCAAAAGGAAAACUUGCAGAGCAAAGUCAUUGCCAAACAGGUUGUGUAGCCUGACCUGUGAAACAUUGUGAAGAAGGAAGAUCGCAGUUUCAGGGAAGAUGACUCGAUAACACCACAGAACAGACAGAUUGCCCAUCAUGAUUACAUCCAAUGGUGUCUUGGCCAAAUAAAAGAUGGUGGUAAAUGGAUAAGAGUCAAGGUGAUUUCAAGCAGAAAGGGCCCUUUGAAAUCACCUCCCAGAAACACUGAGGUGGAGAGAUAGGGAGUGACUCGUCCAAGGUCAUGCAGCUUGCAGGUCAGAAGCUGGAGAUGGUUGGGAAUCUGCUGGAUGUGUGUGCUGGUGAAGGGCAAGGCUUGAGAGGAAGACUUUGCCUUCCUCUGGAUUCAGCACUUGCAAAUCUGGAAGACAAAUGUGACAUCAAUGUCAUCACCAUUCAUGCACUCUCAGCUUUCUUCCCCUGAGACUUUUCUGAAGAACAUUCUUUCCUUCCAAGAAUGACUUUCCAUUGCUGAUUUCAAAAAACCAUAGAUUUUGUUUCCACCUCUGUUGUUUUGUUGUUCUUGUUUGCUCUCUGAUUUGUGUUGUGAUUAUCUUGUGUUUGCUUCUCUAUUUAAUAUCAAUAGUUUCUAUGAAAAAGGAGGACUGUUAUUAAAUAAUUGGAACUCUGAACCCAGAAAUAAAAUUAAGUAAAAGUUUUCCAAA
ensembl:lncRNA novel transcript